GAUGAACGCUGGCGGCGUGCCUAAUACAUGCAAGUCGAGCGAACAGAUGAGGAGCUUGCUCCUCUGACGUUAGCGGCGGACGGGUGAGUAACACGUGGAUAACCUACCUAUAAGACUGGGAUAACUUCGGGAAACCGGAGCUAAUACCGGAUAAUAUAUUGAACCGCAUGGUUCAAUAGUGAAAGACGGUUUUGCUGUCACUUAUAGAUGGAUACGCGCCGCAUUAGCUAGUUGGUAAGGUAACGGCUUACCAAGGCAACGAUGCGUAGCCGACCUGAGAGGGUGAUCGGCCACACUGGAACUGAGACACGGUCCAGACUCCUACGGGAGGCAGCAGUAGGGAAUCUUCCGCAAUGGGCGAAAGCCUGACGGAGCAACGCCGCGUGAAUGAUGAAGGUCUUCGGAUCGUAAAACUCUGUUAUUAGGGAAGAACAAAUGUGUAAGUAACUAUGCACGUCUUGACGGUACCUAAUCAGAAAGCCACGGCUAACUACGUG
rnacentral:rRNA from 1 species